UACAGAGGAGCCAAGCGUUGUCCGGAUUGACUGGGCGUAAAGCGCACGCAGGCGGACGCGCGCGUGGGGUGUGAAAUCUGGCCGCUUAACGGCCAGGCGCCAUCCCAUACGGCGCGUCUGGAGUGAUGCAGAGGUCGAUGGAAUUGCCGGUGUAGUGGUGAAAUGCGUAGAGAUCGGCAGGAACACCCAGGGGGAAACCAGUCGACUGGGCAUCUACUGACGCUGAGGUGCGAGAGCGUGGGGAGCGAACAGG
rnacentral:rRNA from 1 species